GAUGAAGAACGUAGCGAAAUGCGAUAAGUAGUGUGAAUUGCAGAAUUCAGUGAAUCAUCGAAUCUUUGAACGCACAUUGCGCCCUUUGGUAUUCCUUAGGGCAUGCCUGUUCGAGCGUCAUUUAAACCUUCAAGCUAAGCUUGGUGUUGGGUGACUGUCCGCUUCACGGCGGACUCGCCUCAAAAUUAUUGGCGGCCGGUACAUUGGCUUCGAGCGCAGCAGAGACGCGAACUCGGGCCCGUCGUAUUGGCUCCCAGAAGCUAUCUUCACAAUUUUGACCUCGGAUCAGGUAGGGAUACCCGCUGAACUUAAGCAUAUCAAUAAGCGGAGGA
rnacentral:misc_RNA from 1 species